rnacentral:rRNA from 2 species
GACUUUGGUGUUGAUUGGUGCUUGCAUCAUGAUUUACAUUUGAGUGAGUGGCGAACUGGUGAGUAACACGUGGGAAACCUGCCCAGAAGCGGGGGAUAACACCUGGAAACAGAUGCUAAUACCGCAUAACAACUUGGACCGCAUGGUCCGAGCUUGAAAGAUGGCUUCGGCUAUCACUUUUGGAUGGUCCCGCGGCGUAUUAGCUAGAUGGUGGGGUAACGGCUCACCAUGGCAAUGAUACGUAGCCGACCUGAGAGGGUAAUCGGCCACAUUGGGACUGAGACACGGCCCAAACUCCUACGGGAGGCAGCAGUAGGGAAUCUUCCACAAUGGACGAAAGUCUGAUGGAGCAACGCCGCGUGAGUGAAGAAGGGUUUCGGCUCGUAAAACUCUGUUGUUAAAGAAGAACAUAUCUGAGAGUAACUGUUCAGGUAUUGACGGUAUUUAACCAGAAAGCCACGGCUAACUACGUGCCAGCAGCCGCGGUAAUACGUAGGUGGCAAGCGUUGUCCGGAUUUAUUGGGCGUAAAGCGAGCGCAGGCGGUUUUUUAAGUCUGAUGUGAAAGCCUUCGGCUCAACCGAAGAAGUGCAUCGGAAACUGGGAAACUUGAGUGCAGAAGAGGACAGUGGAACUCCAUGUGUAGCGGUGAAAUGCGUAGAUAUAUGGAAGAACACCAGUGGCGAAGGCGGCUGUCUGGUCUGUAACUGACGCUGAGGCUCGAAAGUAUGGGUAGCAAACAGGAUUAGAUACCCUGGUAGUCCAUACCGUAAACGAUGAAUGCUAAGUGUUGGAGGGUUUCCGCCCUUCAGUGCUGCAGCUAACGCAUUAAGCAUUCCGCCUGGGGAGUACGGCCGCAAGGCUGAAACUCAAAGGAAUUGACGGGGGCCCGCACAAGCGGUGGAGCAUGUGGUUUAAUUCGAAGCUACGCGAAGAACCUUACCAGGUCUUGACAUACUAUGCAAAUCUAAGAGAUUAGACGUUCCCUUCGGGGACAUGGAUACAGGUGGUGCAUGGUUGUCGUCAGCUCGUGUCGUGAGAUGUUGGGUUAAGUCCCGCAACGAGCGCAACCCUUAUUAUCAGUUGCCAGCAUUAAGUUGGGCACUCUGGUGAGACUGCCGGUGACAAACCGGAGGAAGGUGGGGAUGACGUCAAAUCAUCAUGCCCCUUAUGACCUGGGCUACACACGUGCUACAAUGGAUGGUACAACGAGUUGCGAACUCGCGAGAGUAAGCUAAUCUCUUAAAGCCAUUCUCAGUUCGGAUUGUAGGCUGCAACUCGCCUACAUGAAGUCGGAAUCGCUAGUAAUCGCGGAUCAGCAUGCCGCGGUGAAUACGUUCCCGGGCCUUGUACACACCGCCCGUCACACCAUGAGAGUUUGUAACACCCAAAGUCGGUGGGGUAACCUUUUAGGAACCAGCCGCCUAAGGUGGGACAGAUGAUUAGGGUGAAGUCGUAACAAGGUAGCCGUAGGAGA